GCUAUACACCAAACAGUGGACAAAACUGGACAACCAGUUCGGUUACUGGAGAUAUAGCCAGAUUUAGUCCCCAGGGGCUACGUUAGAACGGUCAAGAUACCAGGUUUGGGUGCUUUCCAGCCUACUGCUCUAUCGCUAAGUGUUAAACAGGUGUAUGUGGUUAAACCAGUGCAUUUAGUGUAAAAAGCCGUUCUAACAUUAUCGAGGAAAACAUUAC
rfam:Scytonema tolypothrichoides VB-61278 scaffold_6, whole genome shotgun sequence.